rnacentral:rRNA from 1 species
UAGGGAAUCUUCCGCAAUGGGCGAAAGCCUGACGGAGCAACGCCGCGUGAGUGAUGAAGGUCUUCGGAUCGUAAAACUCUGUUAUUAGGGAAGAACAAAUGUGUAAGUAACUAUGCACGUCUUGACGGUACCUAAUCAGAAAGCCACGGCUAACUACGUGCCAGCAGCCGCGGUAAUACGUAGGUGGCAAGCGUUAUCCGGAAUUAUUGGGCGUAAAGCGCGCGUAGGCGGUUUCUUAAGUCUGAUGUGAAAGCCCACGGCUCAACCGUGGAGGGUCAUUGGAAACUGGAAAACUUGAGUGCAGAAGAGGAAAGUGGAAUUCCAUGUGUAGCGGUGAAAUGCGCAGAGAUAUGGAGGAACACCAGUGGCGAAGGCGACUUUCUGGUCUGUAACUGACGCUGAUGUGCGAAAGCGUGGGGAUCAAACAGG